GGAUCGGUAGCUCAGUAGGUAGAGCAGGGGAUUCUUACUCCCAAGGUGGACGGUUCAAGCCCGUCUCGAUCCUCCA
rnacentral:tRNA from 1 species